rnacentral:rRNA from 1 species
AUACGAAGGGGGCUAGCGUUGUUCGGAAUUACUGGGCGUAAAGCGCGCGUAGGCGGACUGAUCAGUUGGGGGUGAAAUCCCAGGGCUUAACCCUGGAACUGCCUCCAAUACUGUCAGUCUUGAGUUCGGGAGAGGUGAGUGGAAUUCCUAGUGUAGAGGUGAAAUUCGUAGAUAUUAGGAAGAACACCAGUGGCGAAGGCGGCUCACUGGCCCGAUACUGACGCUGAGGUGCGAAAGCGUGGGGAGCAAACAGGAUUAGAAACCCUAGUAGUCC